AGUAUAAAAAAUGUCAUAGUAUAGAAUAAUCAAAAUGUCAUAUGACAUUUUGAUCAUUCUAUACUAUGACAUUUUUUAUUAUAC
rnacentral:miRNA from 1 species